rnacentral:rRNA from 1 species
CAGUUCGGAUUGCAGGCUGCAACUCGCCUGCAUGAAGUCGGAAUUGCUAGUAAUCGCAGAUCAGCAUGCUGCGGUGAAUACGUUCCCGGGCCUUGUACACACCGCCCGUCACACCAUGGGAGUCGGUAACACCCGAAGUCGGUAGCCUAACCGUAAGGAGGGCGCCGCCGAAGGUGGGAUUGAUGACUGGGGUGAAGUCGUAACAAGGUAUC